rnacentral:tRNA from 1 species
GCGGAAGUGGCGGAAUUGGCAGACGCACUGGAUUCAGGUUCCAGCGAUCGAAAGGUCGUGGAGGUUCAAGUCCUCUCUUCCGCA